rnacentral:tRNA from 1 species
GCCAAGAUAGCUCAGUUGGUUAGAGCAGCUGUUUUGUAAACAGCAGGUCGUCGGUUCGAAUCCGACUCUUGGCU